UAUGCAGCCCGGGCCAGAGAGUGAAGCUGCUAUGAGCUGUGCCUAUGGCUGCCUACCUCGUGGUACACAAAUGAGUUGUCACGCAUGUCAGGAUAGAGCACAUGUCAUUUGCAAGAGACAAAGAGAGAGCAACCUGAGACGACUGUCUCCUUGUACCUUUUGAUAACUACUCAACGCUGCACAGCACAGGAUUCAGCAUUCAAUCACUCUUAUUGUCAUUUCAUCUUUUAUGGGGGACGCCCCACUCUUAAUUUUUAUCACUGAAUGGCUGCUGACGUACGUAUAUAUAAGAGCACUACAACAUACGACAGGAAAGGGUCAGUAUAAUAAUUAUGUAUUGUCCCGUGAUGUAGUGUGCUAUUAUCUAUUACUUCCUCUGGUAUUCAGCCCCUUUCACGAGCACAGGAUUAUAGAUCUCCAAGCCAUUAGUAUUAAUGAUUCAUUGGAUACUGAAUUUAUAUGGAUGUAUGGAUGGGGCUAUGAUUCUUAGCCUUCCAGGCCGCAACAUAGCGUUCUGAUCGAGGAGGAGAUGAUCGGUUAUUGGCUAUUGGCUCCGGGGAUGGAGUGGAUCUACCUCUGAGAGACAAAGGGCCAGUUACUGUAUCAUGUAUGAAUAUUCUGUUGCUUGUACAUUAUUUUCGUAACAUUAUCAGUAAUUGACUGUAGAGUAGCAUCUUGAGCUCCCCUUUCUUCAUCACUCAAUCUGCAGGCAGUUUUCUGACAGGGAAGGCUACUCUAAACAGAGGGAGUCGGCCACACAAGGUAUAGUCUAAUAAUUAUUGUACGGUACUUAGAUGAUCUUCUCUGUUUUGGGUCAGAUGCAAUUGCCUUCAAUCACUAUAGCCAGUUAAUACAUUUCUUCUACUCUUGGCUUAAGAAAUUGAUUAUGUAGGUAGUUAACCGUUACACGGUAGUGGGAAAGUUCGUUAUUUGAGCCCUCGAGAAAAUAUAGUUGUUCACAUUUUAAUGCCAGGAAACCAUAGCUUUGCAUGGUGCGUGGGAGUGUCUUCCAUUUAUAUUACAUGAAGUGUGAAGUGUGUUGUAAGUUUGUACAGAGAGGACUCCCAUGGUGGCAAUGAUCUGAUGAUGGCUCCACUGCUCUGAUGGACCAAUGCAGGAGAAGUUAUUCUGUAUAAUUAUUACACUAAAUUAAUGUAUGCCACUGUUUGGAUCGGUUUCUGUUCUGCUCAGCUUCUUCCUCCAACUUGCUUACGCAGGCUAAGCUUAUUCUUAGUUCAUUCUUAGUUCAUUCUAUAGUCUAGUAUAUUGUCGGUUUGGUUGUUUUAUGUUUUUCACCUGGUCAUACGGAAUCACUUCAUUAAUUUUUAUACAGUGCAGACCACACCUCUAUCCACACAUUGUACCUGCACAUCCUGUAUAUAUGGGGCCACACCCCCACUCACUGUACUGAUAUGUGGUCACACCCCCAUACAUGGUAACCCUCUUGACCACACCCCAAUCCUAUGCUGUGUUUUUGUGUACAGUACACACAUCAUCCGUGUCUUUAUCCCCACACCUAGUCGGAGGGAGCAGCAAGUUCUACUAAGAGCCAGCAUCACCCACUAACCAACACUCUACAAGACCUACCUACUACCAGCUAGGACAGCACACCACCCGGGACAGACUCUACUAUACCCAUGUAAUACGCCUUUGUAUUACGAUCAUGAUACAAUUUGCUGCCCUCCCUCGCCAAUGGAUUGAAUAAUUAUGGACACUCGCAGGACAACUAAGAGACUGACACACAAUAAUAGACACCAAAGGCAGUGUAUGUGAUUUUCUGACAGGAAAGGCUACUCUAAACAAAGGGAGUCGGCCACACAAGGUAUAGUCUGAUAAUUAUUGUACGGUACCUUCUCUGUUUUGGGUCAGAUGCAAUUGCCUUCAAUCACUAGCCAGUUUAAAACAUUUCUUCUACUCUUGGCUUAAGAAAUUGUAUUUUAUUAUUGUACCAGCAUUAGGUAGUUAACUCCACUUAUGCAUUGACCUCUACUACUGUGUAGCGUGAAAGUUCGUUAUUUGAGCCCUCGAGAAAUGUUGUAUAGUUUCACAUUUCAAUGCCAGGAAACCAUAGCUUUGCAUGGUGCGUGGGAGUUUCUUCCAUUUGUAUUACAUGAAGUGUGUUGUAAGUUUGUAUAGAGAGGACUCCCAUGGUGGCAAUGAUCUGAUGAUGGCUCCACUGCUCUGAUGGACCAAUGCAGGAGAAGUUAUUCUGUAUAAUUAUUACACUAAAUUAAUGUAUGCCACUGUUUGGAUCGGUUUCUGUUCUGCUCAGCUUCUUCCUCCAACUUGCUUACGCAGGCUAAGCUUAUUCUUAAUCAGUUCAUUCUUAGUUCAUUCUAUAGUCUAGUAUAUUGUCGGUUUGGUUGUUUUAUGUUUUUCACCUGGUCAUACGGAAUCACUUCAUUAAUUUUUAUACAGUGCAGACCACACCUCUAUCCACACAUUGUACCUGCACAUCCUGUAUAUAUGGGGCCACACCCCCACUCACUGUACUGAUAUGUGGUCACACCCCCAUACAUGGUAACCCUCUUGACCACACCUCCACCCAUGCAUUGUGUCGUACAUGCUGUGUUUUUAUGUACAGUACAGUACACACAUCAUCCGUGUCUUUAUCCCCACACCUAGUCGGAGGGAGCAGCAAGUUCUACUAAGAGCCAGCAUCACCAACUAACCAACACACUACAAGACCUACCUACUACCAGCUAGGACAGCACACCACCCGGGACAGACUCUACUAUACCAUGUAAUAUGCCUUUGUAUUACGAUCAUGAUACAAUUUGCUGCCCUCCCUCGCCCAUGGAUUGAAUAAUUAUGGACACUCGCAGGACAACUAAGAGACUGACACACAAUAAUAGACUGUUGCUUGUACAUUUCGUAACAUUAUCAGUAAUUGACUGUAGAGGAGCAUCUUAAUUUAGCUCCCCUUUCUUCAUCACUCAAUCUGCAGGCAGUGUAUGUAAUUUUCUGACAGGAAAGGCUACUCUAAACAGAGGGAGUCGGCCACACAAGUCGGAGGGAGCAGCAAGUUCUACUAAGAGCCAGCAUCACCCACUAACCAACACUCUACAAGACCUACCUACUACCAGCUAGGACAGCACACCACCCGGGACAGACUCUACUAUACCCAUGUAAUACGCCUUUGUAUAACGAUCAUGAUACAAUUUGCUGCCCUCCCUCGCCAAUGGAUUGAAUAAUUAUGGACACUCGCAGGACAACUAAGAGACUGACACACAAUAAUAGACACCAAAGGCAGUGUAUGUGAUUUUCUGACAGGAAAGGCUACUCUAAACAAAGGGAGUCGGCCACACAAGUCGGAGGGAGCAGCAAGUUCUACUAAGAGCCAGCAUCACCAACUAACCAACACUACAAGACCUACCUACUACCAGCUAGGACAGCACACCACCCGGGACAGACUCUACUAUACCAUGUAAUACGCCUUUUUAUUACGAUCAUGAUACAAUUUGCUGCCCUCCCUUGCCCAUGGAUUGAAUAAUUAUGGACACUCGCAGGACAACUAAGAGACUGACACACAAUAAUAGACACCUAACUGCUAUUUUGCCAUUAAUAUAAUAAAAAUAAUUUUGCCAUUAA